rnacentral:lncRNA from 1 species
AAGGAAUUGCAGGACCCAGAGAUUUUCAUGAAAGUGAAAUUGCUCAUAGGAAAUCAAAGCAAAUGGCCUUAAGAGUGGCAUCCAGUGGACCGUCCUCUGAAAAGUGACCCACAAUUCUGCAUGAAUCUUUCCAGGACACUGAAUUGGAGCCAGCUGAUAUGAAGAAACUGAGACCCCAAGAAUUUAAGUAAUUUGUUCAAGGCAACACACUGCUAUGUGGUAGAACUACAAAUUGAGCCCAAAUAAUCCAGCUUCAGAUACUAUGCAAAGGUAUCCUAGGUGUGGGGGUGAUAACCUGGUGACAAUCCCUUCUCAGAAGGAAAACAGGUCCCAUCUACAGAGGUGAAGCAGAGUGUGGAACUGAAAAACUCAAUGGAAGAAUGGCUAUUAAGAUUUAGGACGGCUGGGAAAUAAUAAAGUAAUAAUAAUAAUACUAGGUAUUGACGUGUGCUACAUGCCAGG